UCUAAUAUGGCAGAUAAGUGCAUUGGAUUUAAGCUCCAUAAAUAAAGUUUCACUCUUUUAUUAGAA
rnacentral:tRNA from 1 species